rnacentral:rRNA from 1 species
GACGAACGCUGGCGGCGUGCUUAACACAUGCAAGUCGAACGGAAAGGCCCUGCUUUUGUGGGGUGCUCGAGUGGCGAACGGGUGAGUAACACGUGAGUAACCUGCCCUUGACUGUGGGAUAACUUCAGGAAACUGGGGCUAAUACCGGAUAGGAGCUCCUGCUGCAUGGUGGGGGUUGGAAAGUUUCGGCGGUUGGGGAUGGACUCGCGGCUUAUCAGCUUGUUGGUGGGGUAGUGGCUUACCAAGGCUUUGACUGGUAGCCGGCCUGGGAGGGUGAACGGGCACAUUGGGACUGAGAUACGGCGCAGACUCCUACGGGAGGCAGCAGUGGGGAAUAUUGCACAAUGGGCGGAAGCCUGAUGCAGCAACGCCGCGUGCGGGAUGACGGCCUUCGGGUUGUAAACCGCUUUCGCCUGUGACGAAGCGUGAGUGACGGUAAUGGGUAAAGAAGCACCGGCUAACUACGUG